rnacentral:lncRNA from 1 species
UGUCUUUUUAAAUAGGAGGACGGGGUCUUUCCAAACACUAAUAAUACACUAUUUUAUUCGAUGUAUGUUUCAAAUAACCGUUAAAUGUAUCUCUCUUGGCUAGAAAGUGAUCAACAUAUGACUUAGAUUGAUAUUCCUGCGAACAAUGAGGAAGGAUUCCGUAUCAGGCUAUGAAGAUUGGUGUGCUCUCUCUCACACCUGUUAGCAGAAAACGUUCGCCUCCUGUCCCAAAGGGUAAUAACAAAUGUCAGUAGCUCAUAUCCUGCUCUGAGGAACUGAAAGAGGGGCCGUCCUAAGAAACGGGUAUCUCCCACCUGUGUGUCAAUGGUCUCCCAGCUAAUAAAGAUUCGCCGUUUGAAUAUCACAAUUUUACUGUCCCGGAGUAGACAAUCAAACGUGGUAGAAUAUUUUACAUAAAUAAGGCUAUAUAAUAAGACAGAGUCCAUAUAUUGCACAGGUCCGCUACUAAUUAGAAGGAUAGAUAGCAGCCCGUGCUGUCGUGAUACCUUCCUCCACCCAACUCCACCCGACACCUACUGUAUUCCACCUGUUUGAAUCGAACUUGAAUGCCGCCGUCCCGAACCAUCUCCUAUACCACACACCCACAAACCAUGUAUCGUCGAUGGGACAUGUGUGCGCGGAAUGGCUCGCUAAAAUCCAGGAAGUGCAGUUCCAGAAGUCGAAACGCACAAAGCGGGGCUGCCCGACCGUCCCAUGCGGGACUAAAUGGAGCUAUUGGCACUGUUUCUUUCGUUUGAUGGAUAUGGACAUGAAGAAUUCAUGUGUGCUUUUCCCCCCACGUUUUCUUUGACCCAUUGUAACGAAAACCUAUUUCGUAUGAAAUGCAGGGGUUUGAGCCAGCACAUGAUUGGUAGGCUACAUUGUAAAAUAUGAGCUAUAAUUUCAAUCAAAUUUGAAUUUAUAUUUUAUAUUUUCACUACCCAGAUUGUCAUAACUGGAUAACCUAUUGUAUUGGUAUAAUAAUAAUAAAAAAUACUAUGUAUAACGGAAUUAAAUUAAGUAAAUGUAUUUAUUUAUUUAUUUAUUAUUAUUAUUAUUAUUGUUAUUAUUGUAGGCAUAGUCCUCACAUAUUUUAUGUUUAUUUGAUAUGAAAGAGAUGGAG